rnacentral:tRNA from 1 species
AUUUCUUUAGUAUCAACUAGUACAGUUGACUUCCAAUCAACCAGUUUCGGUACACCCCGAAAAGAAAUA